rnacentral:rRNA from 1 species
GAUGAACGCUAGCGGCAGGCUUAAUACAUGCAAGUCGAGGGCAGCAGGGUGUAGCAAUACAUCGCUGGCGACCGGCAAACGGGUGCGGAACACGUACGCAACCUUCCUUCAAGUGAGGGAUAGCCCAGGGAAACUUGGAUUAAUACCUCGUAACAUUGUGAAGUGGCAUCACUUUAUAAUUAUAGCUCAGGCGCUUGAAGAUGGGCGUGCGACUGAUUAGGUAGUUGGCGGAGUAACAGCCCACCAAGCCUGCGAUCAGUAACUGGUGUGAGGGCACGACCAGUCACACGGGCACUGAGACACGGGCCCGACUACCUACGGGAGGCAGCAGUAAGGAAUAUUGGUCAAUGGACGACAAGUCUGAACCA